UACAGCUCAGAAAGUAUAGGGGGAGAGGAGGGGGAGGAGGGGGAGGCCCCCUCCCCCCUGCACUACAUAACCCCCUCUCUUUGAUCUGGCCUGCACUCGCUCUCCGUCUCUCUGCUGCACUGAGGUAAGGCCUCUACUCUCAAUCUUAUAAUUCACUUCUUUAGUUCUUUUCUGGAUCUAAAGAUAAUUCCCAAUUUUUUUCAGCAAAUGUUAAUUUUAUAAUAAAUGAUAUUUAAAUUAGUAUAUACAGUUUUUUUUUUUUGAGUAUUUAAACAUAAGAACAUGAGUAAUUUUUGUUUCUUAUGUUUUGUAAUUUAAUACCAUUAUUAUUAUUAUAUUUUUAUCAUUAUCAUCUAUCUAUCUAUCUAUCUAUCUAUCUAUCUAUCUAUCUAUCUAUCUAUCUAUCUAGAUAGAUGCUAUUUUAUGAUGUAGUAUGUUUUAAUAGAUGGACACUUCAAAUCAGAAGCAAAUGUUACUUAUUACUUAUCUACUUAAAUAUAAUUUAUAUUUUUUGGGUUAAGGUAAAUUACUAGGUAAAUGUAAAUUAGUACAUUUAAAUGUAAUAAAUAGUAACUACAUAUAUAAAUAAAAUAGGUUACAGUAUCUCUCUCUCUCUCUCUCUCUCUCUCUAUAUAUAUAUAUAUAAAUGUAAUUUAUUUUGUAAUAAUCAUAUAUUUGCUUGUGAAUAAAUGCAAUACUAAUAUUUAUCAGAGCAAUACAAAUAAAUGGAAAAAAAGUAGAAAAAUGUGUUUUUGUGUCCCAAAAGCAGUUUUUCAUUGCUGUUGGUGUUAUUUUUGUUAGCUGACUGAGCCUCAAAGACUGCUGUGGGGAGCAUGUCCACUGACUGUGUGAGGUCACUCUCAGACAAAGCUGAACACACACUCACCAUGCACGAACAUCUCUAUGGGAACACUGAAAUGGACAAUCAGAAGCACAGCUCCAAGGAACAUCAGCAGGACAAAUUGGGACAGAAGAAACCCCGCAGGAAAGACACUCCCGUACUCAACAGCCCUCCACUCAUACCAGGCAAGACUUUGAUUUCUCGUGUUCUCACUGUCAUCCUUUCACUCAGUCACCCUCACGCCCUGUCCAGCCAUCUCUCUCUGUCUCUUUGUCUCAGUUCUUUGUGCUUUUCUUUUGCAGGCGUGAGACUGAUAAAGACAGAGGCUCGAAUGAUUCAUCAGGAGGAUGAGGAGAAGGAGAUGAAGAAGUAGAUGUGUUUCAAACAUUUGGUUUUCAGUGUUGUUAGUGCUAAUUUUGAUUGUCGUCUGAGCCUUCAUUAAAUGUAGGUUUUGCAGCUAUUUUUUUGCAUUAUCAUUUCGUCACUUGAGUAUUACAUUGUAUAAACAACUUGGAAUGAAUACAUGGACAGGUGUUUCAGUGUGUGAUUAACCCAUUUAAUCCCACCAUUCACAACAGUGACCGUAAAGAAGGUUUUCAUUUAUAAAGCUCUAAAAAUUUUACUGACUGAUGUUUUAGUGCAUUUUCUAGUGCAUUAGUGUAUUCCUAUGAGUGUUGUAUAAGCGAUUUUAUGCGUAAUAGUACCCUACAAUGAGAUGAAACUGAGUUUAAAAUAGCUGGGCUGAGAUAUAUAAAAUUUUUGAUGACUGCAGUAAAUAUGUGAAUUCAGUUACACAUUGUCCCACCGGUCACAAUUGUGACUGACCAUAAAACAAGAAUUUCACACACUUUCCAAAAAAAAAAAAAAAAAAGAAUUAUUGAUUUCAAAGGGUUGCUAAUGACACUUCAAAAAUUUGGGAUUAAACGGGUUAAGUAUGAACAGCAGAUUACAUUAACUGGGUAAAUCUCAAGAAACCUGUCAAGAACAUGUCCAUGUCAUAUUUCACCCCAAAAUCAAAAGAAAAUGUUAAUUACAGUAAUUGAAAUAAAAUAUUUUUAAAUAUUCAAAUGGUAACAUUGUAGUGCCUUAUGUUUACAUUAUUUUUUCUAUUUUUUCUUUAUUUUUUUUUUUUUUUUUGCAUAGAAUGUGCAUCACAACUGAAAAGAACAAUGACAAAAAAAAGUAAAAUUAUAUUGAUGUGUUUGUGUAUAUAUAAUAAAAAUAUUACAAAUAAAAAAGAAUUUAUAUUUUGCACAAUUAAGCAUAUUUUCCUCCCCAAUUCUUAUUAGGGUUAAAAGAAAGGAAAAAUACAAAACAUUGUUUUUAAAGUACUCAUUCAUCAUGCAAGUUUUAGUGCCUUUAAUUUAUGUUGAUAUAAAUACUAAAUAAAAUGGCAUGGGAAGUAUAGUAUAUUUUUGUAUGGGAAUGCAAUUAAAAACAUAAAAUACUGUAUCAAGGCAAUGGGCGUCACAAUUGAAAAUAAGAAUUCAAAAAAAUUCUAAAUAAUUACAUAUAAUACAUUAAAAAUAUAAAUAAAAAAAUAAUAAAAAAAUAAAUAAAAAUUCAAAUAAAUGUUAUUUUUUAACGGUUUAUUAUUAUUAUAUAUAUUUUUUAAUUUUUCUGUAUACACUACAG
rnacentral:lncRNA from 1 species